AUGGCUCCUUCUUUUUUUUUUUUUAAUUUUUAUUUAUUUAUGAUAGUCACAGAGAGAGAGAGAGAGAGAGAGGCAGAGGCACAGGCAGUGGGAGAAGCAGGCUCCAUGCACCGGGAGCCCGACGUGGGAUUCGAUCCUGAAUCUUCAGGAUCACGCCCUGGGCCAAAGGCAGGCGCCAAACCGCUGCGCCACCCAGGGAUCCCCAUCAUGGCUCCUUCUGAAGAACUCCUUAGGAGAAACAGCUCUGUAGGUGAUGGGGACCACAGCCAUGUGGGCAGUGCUGCAAGGGGGACCUCCAGGGUGCUGCGGGAGAACAUGGAAGGAAUGGCAGGUGCCCAGAGAGUACUAACAGGUGAGUUUGUGGGGGUUGAGGGAGGAAUCUGACCCAGGGGACAUGGGAUGUGAGAUGUGCUUUCCCCAACAGGUGAGACUGGUGGCCAGAGGCCGCCUCUGCCCAUAGACAGGUUCUCUUUGGUCUGCACAGUGUUGGCCAAGAAUUUGAGUUAGUUGUCAACACUUAAAUGUCAGGUAAUAUCAUAUUUCCAAGUCAGAAGAUCUAGCAGCCCUGGGCCUGAUUUCUGCAUGGUUCUGAUUGUCUAGAGCUGGUUGCUGCAUGCAAUGGGGUCAUGGGCUCUCUGGUUCACAAUGAUCUCCACCAUUCCGUAGUGUCCCUGUUUCGCCUGAUCUGAAUCGUUCAUUUACAGAUCCUGCCUGGCUUUUCUAAGGCUUCUGCUAUUAACCCAUAGAAGCUUCCUAGCUGCCAUUUUAAAAAGAAGCAAGAUGGAUUUGGUUCAAAACCAUACAGCAAUAAGCACUUCUUGGGGGAUUUAAUGCUAACAAUGGAGACAGUCAAGGGAAUGAAGUCAGAGAUUUGCAGACUGCCUCAUCUCAGAGACCAGGAGUCAAGGCUGUACACGGUUUUCCCCAUCUCUAUGCAAUUCUAGUCCUUAUGUGUGCAGAUUCUAAAGCCUGUUGGAAAGCAAGGUCUGAGUGACCCUCUGACUACUUCAUAGGAAUUGCUCAAUGGGUAUACGGUCAUUCUAUCCCAGCUUUUCUUUUGAUGUUUUCUGCAUACUGCUAAUUAGUCUAGCUUUUGAGUUACUGAAAUCUUAGAAAGAAAAGAUCUUUUCUUUCUUUCUUUCUUUCUUUCUUUCUUUCUUUCUUUCUUUCUUUCUUUCUUAAACAGCGAGUGGGCUAGAAAAAGCUGUACAGCAUUAUGAAAUGGUUUUGGCAAAGCUCAAAAUUAUUUGUGCAGUUAAUAAACUCUCCAUGGCUCCCUCCCUUGUUUCCCGA
rnacentral:lncRNA from 12 species